rnacentral:rRNA from 1 species
GACGAACGCUGGCGGCGUGCUUAACACAUGCAAGUCGAACGGAAAGGCCCUGCUUUUGUGGGGUGCUCGAGUGGCGAACGGGUGAGUAACACGUGAGUAACCUGCCCUUGACUUUGGGAUAACUUCAGGAAACUGGGGCUAAUACCGGAUAGGAGCUCCUGCUGCAUGGUGGGGGUUGGAAAGUUUCGGCGGUUGGGGAUGGACUCGCGGCUUAUCAGCUUGUUGGUGGGGUAGUGGCUUACCAAGGCUUUGACGGGUAGCCGGCCUGAGAGGGUGACCGGCCUCAUUGGGCCUGAGAUACGGCCCAGACUCCUACGGGAGGCAGCAGUGGGGAAUAUUGCGCAGUGGGCGGACGCCUGAUGCAGCAACGCCGCGUGCGUGAUGACGUCCUUCGGGUUGUAAACCGCUUUCGACUGUGACGAAGCGUGAGUGACGGUAAUGGGUAAAGAAGCACCGGCUAACUACGUG